UACGUAGGGGGCGAGCGUUAUCCGGAUUCAUUGGGCGUAAAGCGCGCGCAGGCGGGUUGCUAAGCGGGACCUCUAAUCCUGGGGCUCAACCUCAGGCCGGGUCCCGAACUGGCAGUCUUGAGUACAGUAGAGGUGGGCGGAAUUCGUGGUGUAGCGGUGAAAUGCUUAGAUAUCACGAAGAACUCCGAUUGCGAAGGCAGCUCACUGGACUGCAACUGACACUGAGGCUCGAAAGUGUGGGUAUCAAACAGG
rnacentral:rRNA from 1 species